UGCGUGGUGGUGCAACGGUUACAUAGCUCCCGGAAACAGUGAGAUCUGGGUUCGAAUCCCAGCUGACGCAA